rnacentral:sRNA from 1 species
AAUACAGUGACAGCACAGGUCACAGUAAGGCCAAAAAUGUGCAUACUCACAGAGUUAGAGAGAGGGAUGGUGGGACCAGUUACUCUCCACAAGAAAAUUCACACAACCACAGUGCUGUUCAUAGUUCAAAUUCACAUUCUUCUAAUCCAAGCAAUAACCCAAGCAAAACUUCAGAUGCACCUUAUGAUUCUGCAGAUGACUGGUCUGAGCAUAUUAGCUCUUCUGGGAAAAAGUACUACUACAAUUGUCGAACAGAAGUUUCACAAUGGGAAAAACCAAAAGAGUGGCUUGAAAGAGAACAGAGACAAAAAGAAGCAAACAAGAUGGCAGUCAACAGCUUCCCAAAAGAUAGGGAUUACAGAAGAGAGGUGAUGCAAGCAACAGCCACUAGUGGGUUUGCCAGUGGAAUGGAAGACAAGCAUUCCAGUGAUGCCAGUAGUUUGCUCCCACAGAAUAUUUUGUCUCAAACAAGCAGACACAAUGACAGAGACUACAGACUGCCAAGAGCAGAGACUCACAGUAGUUCUACGCCAGUACAGCACCCCAUCAAACCAGUGGUUCAUCCAACUGCUACCCCAAGCACUGUUCCUUCUAGUCCAUUUACGCUACAGUCUGAUCACCAGCCAAAGAAAUCAUUUGAUGCUAAUGGAGCAUCUACUUUAUCAAAACUGCCUACACCCACAUCUUCUGUCCCUGCACAGAAAACAGAAAGAAAAGAAUCUACAUCAGGAGACAAAUCCGUAUCACAUUCUUGCACAACUCCUUCCACGUCUUCUGCCUCUGGACUGAACCCCACAUCUGCACCUCCAACAUCUGCUUCAGCGGUCCCUGUUUCUCCUGUUCCACAGUCACCAAUACCUCCCUUACUUCAGGACCCAAAUCUUCUUAGACAAUUGCUUCCUGCUUUGCAAGCCACGCUGCAGCUUAAUAAUUCUAAUGUGGACAUAUCUAAAAUAAAUGAAGCAGCUGUGACACAAGCCUCACUGCAGUCUAUAAUUCAUAAGUUUCUUACUGCUGGACCAUCUGCUUUCAACAUAACGUCUCUGAUUUCUCAAGCUGCUCAGCUCUCUACACAAGGUAUUCUUACUCAUCUUAGAUAUCUCUAGAAUGGUAUCUUGAUUUUGUUUUGGAAUUAAUAGCCCUUUUUUGUAUUUAGUUUUUUCUUUCCUUUUUUUUUUUUUUAGUUUUUUAAGAGAUUAGCUACAAUAAUUUUGUUUUUUUUUUUGUAACACUGGCAUAUACAGUAGUAUUUUUAUUUCCUUUCUUUUUAGAAGCAAGCUUUGACAUUUGUCUUAAGGUAUUGCCAUCAAAUCUGUAAUUAUUUAAUACAGUAUUUAAUUCAGACUUUGUUAUUAAUGAGUUUUUUUAUGCCAAAGCUGAAAGUAAACUAUGAUGUGCCAUAUAUCUUUGUGAAACAUUGCAUGUAUUUGAAGAGUUGAAGUUUGGUUCAGAUUGACGUUAGAUGUUUUUUGACUGGAUAAUAUGGAAAUGCUCAUUUUCUGCCUUGAAUUAGAUAUCCCUCUUCAUGAAGGUAUCCAAAUGGAGAGAGAUACACAUAGGAGCAAAUGGGAAGUGAAAGGGUCACUUUGUCAGAAAGCUGAUAAACAGCAGGAAUGCCUUGUCUGGAAUGGAAGUAUAAUGGUGCAAAGACUCUUGCAACCCUCUGGCUAGCCUCAUGAGCAGGAGACUGCGUGGGAUACCUGGGCCUAAAUGUAGAAUAAGAAAGAAGAAAUAAGGAUGGUGAGGAGGCCUUCCAUGUGAGAUUAGGUUCAGGCCUAGCUUCCUGUUCCAGCCACAUAAAGGAGAGUGGGCCACACUGGGUGUGCUUACCUCUGAACACACAGCUCACUUAGUCAGUGUGGCCCAGUGAGAAGGUCAGAUUCUGAUUUAUUCCAAUAAGUGUUCUCUGGGUAAUAUGGGGGUGGGGGGGUUUAGAGUAAUACAAAUAUCUUUGCCACAUAUAUUACAAAGGACUUUAGUUUUUUGUUUUGUUUUGUUUUUCUUUAAAAUUAAUUGCUUCCCUCUUUUACAGCCCAGCCAUCUAAUCAGUCUCCGAUGUCUUUAACAUCUGAUGCGUCAUCCCCAAGAUCAUAUGUUUCUCCAAGAAUAAGCACACCUCAGACUAACACAGUCCCUAUCAAACCUUUGAUCAGUACUCCUCCUGUUUCAUCACAGCCAAAGGUUAGUACUCCAGUAGUUAAGCAAGGACCAGUGUCACAGUCAGCCACACAGCAGCCUGUAACUGCUGACAAGCAGCAAGGUCAUGAACCUGUCUCUCCUCGAAGUCUUCAGCGCUCAAGGUAGGUUGAUAUUGUAUAUUGAGACCACAUUGUUUUAUUUAAUGAUGGUACACUGCAUUGUUUGAAUAUUAUAUCUGUAAAAUAGAACUUAAACUCCAUGAAUACCCUAAAGUAGGCUUACAUGUUGUAAAAUUUACAAAGACAAACCUGUAUACAAGAGGUAGGUUAUUGUCUCUAGUAGUGAAGCCCAGGUUAUUUUGAAGAAAGUGGCUCUUUAAAAUUUUACACAGUGGAAUAUGACAGGGCUAAAGAUUUGUGAUACUUGUACCAGAAAGGCACACGAUUUUACAAUAUUUGUUGGAAUUACCUUACUUUUUAACCUCCUCAUAGCAGUUUUGGUUUGAGUAUAUUGAUGAAAGCCAAAGUCUGGUAUCUAAAACUUGGGCCAAUGUUUCCCAACUGGUGUAUGUCAGGCUUUCCCAAUAGCUUAACUGUGACCCUAUACGGAUGUCUUUUUAGAUAGUUCUACACUGCUAUAUUGUGUUAGCACUUUUCUUUGUUCAUUAACAACACAACUUUAAAUGACAUUUGUUGAAUGAAUGGUUUUCAUUUGAUUGAUUUUCCUAUUUUUUUAUUUCAUGCUAUGAGGUAGCAAAAUAAUUCAACUGUUGUUUUUAUUGUUGUUUUCUAAACAAGCAUUUCAGAACUUACACCUCCAAAUGAGAGUUGUUCCCUUCAAAAUAAUCACCUUGGGAAGCUGUCUACUUACUCCAGCAAUGUUGCCAUUGCUCUGAACAUUUUUGGGAAAUUCUUCUUUUAAAUUGUUUUUAGAGGCUGCAGUAUUAUUUUAAAUAUCCUCAGUGAUGAAAACUCUUCAUCCUUUGGGAGAUUUAGUUUUUGGAAAUAACUGAAAUUCAUUCAGAGCCAAGUCUGGUGAAGCAGGUAGGAGAUCAACUUGGGUGAUUAAAUUUUUUGGUUCUUACCACCAUAUCCCCAACCCUGGCCCAAACCAUUCAGUUUUAAAAGAAGAUAAAGAAUCUCAGAGUGUUAUUUUUUUGGUUUUGUUUUGCCACUAUGCUUGUUCAGUGCUAUCCAAUAAAAUGUCUGUAUUUUGCUUCACAUUAUUUCACCCUCUGAUUCAGCAGUUCUGACGUUGAACAAAGGCAAUAUAUAUUUUCCCCUUAUCUAGAUGUAUAUGAGCAGUCUUCAGAUGUGCAUCUACAGCUGUUAAAAUGUGACUUUUUAAAGUUAUAUUAUUAGUGUUUGUGGUACACAAAGUUAACAGGUUCUGCUCUCAGAUUUGGAGAGUAGUUUACAUUUGACUCUGACAGUAGUGUUAAAAGGGUUUUUUCCCCCUAAAGUGUUUUGAGGAAUAAUAUACUUUGGAUUGUUAAUUCUCUUUAUUUGACAUUAAAAUAACAAAUUUUUCUUAGGAAUUUGGAUAUCUUUAAGUUAAUAAAAGGUAUUAACAUGCAGUUUCUAGGAUAAGGAUACCCAGAAACUACUUUUAAACAUACUACACAUUCAAUUCUGUUUUCUAGUAGCCAGAGAAGUCCAUCACCUGGUCCCAAUCAUACUUCUAAUAGUAGUAAUGCAUCAAAUGCAACAGUUGUACCACAGAAUUCUUCUGCCCGAUCCACGUGUUCAUUAACGCCUGCACUAGCAGCACACUUCAGUGAAAAUCUCAUAAAACACGUUCAAGGAUGGCCUGCAGAUCAUGCAGAGAAGCAGGCAUCAAGAUUACGCGAAGAAGCGCAUAACAUGGGAACUAUUCACAUGUCCGAAAUUUGUACUGAAUUAAAAAAUUUAAGAUCUUUAGUCCGAGUAUGUGAAAUUCAAGCAACUUUGCGAGAGCAAAGGAUACUAUUUUUGAGACAACAAAUUAAGGAACUUGAAAAGCUAAAAAAUCAGAAUUCCUUCAUGGUGUGAAGAUGUGAAUAAUUGCACAUGGUUUUGAGAACAGGAACUGUAAAUCUGUUGCCCAAUCUUAACAUUUUUGAGCUGCAUUUAAGUAGACUUUGGACCGUUAAGCUGGGCAAAGGAAAUGACAAGGGGAUGGGGUCUGUGAGAGUCAAUUCAGGGGAAAGAUACAAGAUUGAUUUGUAAAACCCUUGAAAUGUAGAUUUCUUGUAGAUGUAUCCUUCACGUUGUAAAUAUGUUUUGUAGAGUGAAGCCAUGGGAAGCCAUGUGUAACAGAGCUUAGACAUCCAAAACUAAUCAAUGCUGAGGUGGCUAAAUACCUAGCCUUUUACAUGUAAACCUGUCUGCAAAAUUAGCUUUUUU